rnacentral:rRNA from 1 species
GUUUGCUUGAUCUCAUAAGCAAUCUAGCCUGCCCACUGAAUAAUUUUUUUAACGGCCGCGGUACCCUGACCGUGCAAAGGUAGCAUAAUAAUUAGUCUUUUAAUUGAGGACUUGAAUGAAAGGCUGGACAAAAUGUAAUCUGUCUCAAUCUUUUUAAUUGAACUUAACUUUUAAGUGAAAAGGCUUAAAUAACCAAGGGGGACGAUAAGACCCUAUAAAACUUUAUAUUAUUGAUCUUAAGUUAUGAUUUUUUUUUAAAAUAACUUAUUUUUUAUUGUAUUUUGUUGGGGCGACAAAAGCAUAAUCAUUAACUGCUUUCAUUUGAUACAAAAAUUUUUGUAUAAUUGAUCCCUUAUUCAGGAUUUUAAGACAAAGUUACUUUAGGGAUAACAGCGUAAUUUUUUUUAAGAGUUCUUAUCGACAAAAAAGUUUGCGACCUCGAUGUUGAAUUAAAAUUUCCUUAUAGUGCAGCAAUUAUAUAGGAAGGUCUGUUCGACCUUUAAAUUUUUACAUGAUUUGAGUUCAAACCGGUGUGAG